CUGUGUUUUCCAGCUCAUUGUAGAGGGGAUGACAUCAUGGAGUGACAUUGUUCAGAGGAUGCUGAAAGCCCCAGUGAAGCUCCAGAGACGCUGGCUGACAACACGGUGACACAGAGCAUCCCCAUGCACUACAGG